GUCUCCAGUGGCCUAGUGGUUAGAGUGUCUGCUUUGGAUGCUGGAGGUUGUGGGUUCAAUCCCCAGUCGAGUCA